rnacentral:rRNA from 1 species
GACGAACGCUGGCGGCGUGCUUAACACAUGCAAGUCGAACGGAAAGGCCCUGCUUUUGUGGGGUGCUCGAGUGGCGAACGGGUGAGUAACACGUGAGUAACCUGCCCUUGACUUUGGGAUAACUUCAGGAAACUGGGGCUAAUACCGGAUAGGAGCUCCUGCUGCAUGGUGGGGGUUGGAAAGUUUCGGCGGUUGGGGAUGGACUCGCGGCUUAUCAGCUUGUUGGUGGGGUAGGGGCUUACCAAGGCUUUGACGGGUAGCCGGCCUGAGAGGGUGACCGGCCACCUUGGGACUGAGAUACGGCCCAGACUCCUACGGGAGGCAGCAGUGGGGAAUCUUGCACAAUGGGCGGAAGCCUGAUGCAGCAACGCCGCGUGCGGGAUGACGGCCUUCGGGUUGUAAACCGCUUUCGCCUGUGACGAAGCGUGAGUGACGGUAAUGGGUAAAGAAGCACCGGCUAACUACGUG